GGGGGCGUCACGGCUUCGACGUGGGUCGCGAAACCGAAGGGGCAUGCCGAGGGGCAGAGCACCUCGUAAAUCCAACUGCAACCAAGUUAGUUGCCAACGACGACAACUACGCACU
rnacentral:tmRNA from 1 species